rnacentral:rRNA from 1 species
GAUUAACGCUGGCGGCGUGCAUAACACAUGCAAGUCGAACGAUGAAACUUAAAUGAUUUCUUCGGAAUGAACUUAAGCGAAUUAGUGGCGGACGGGUGAGUAACGCGUGAGUAACCUGCCUUACACAAGGGGAUAGCCGUUGGAAACGACGAAUAAUACCCUAUGAAACUAUCACUUCGCAUGAAGCGAUAGUCAAAGUGUUAGCGGUGUAAGAUGGACUUGCGUCUGAUUAGCUAGUUGGUGAGAAAAAAGCCCACCAAGGCAACGAUCAGUAGCCGGCUUGAGAGAGUGUACGGCCACAUUGGGACUGAGACACGGCCCAGACUCCUACGGGAGGCAGCAGUGGGGAAUUUUGCACAAUGGGGGAAACCCUGAUGCAGCGACGCCGCGUGAUUUAGAAGGCCUUCGGGUUGUAAAAAUCUUUUGUAUAGGAAGAAAAUGACAGUACUAUACGAAUAAGGUCCGGCUAAUUACGUG